rnacentral:rRNA from 1 species
UGAAUACGAGAUGCUACGGCGUCGAAGCAGUGUAUGUCAGACUUCCAAGAAAAGCUCGCAAUGUCAUAAAUAAAGAAUGCCUGUACCAUAACCGACACAGGUGGGUAGGUAGAGUAUACUAAGGGGCGCGAGAUAACUCUCUCUAAGGAACUCGGCAAAAUAACUCCGUAACUUCGGGAGAAGGAGUGCCUUCUUGAAGAAGGUUGCAAUAACAAGAUCCAAGCAACUGUUUAUCAAAAACACAGGUCUCCGCUAAGUCGAAAGACGAUGUAUGGGGGCUGACGCCUGCCCAGUGCCAGAAGGUUAAAGAAGCUGGUUAGCAAUAGCGAAGCUGGUGACUGAAGCCCUGGUGAACGGCGGCCGUAACAAUAACGGUCCUAAGGUAGCGAAAUUCCUUGUCGGGUAAGUUCCGACCCGCACGAAAGGCGUAAUGAUUUGGAUACUGUCUCGGAGAGGGACUCGGUGAAAUAGACUUGUCUGUGAAGAUGCGGACUACCUGCACCAGGACAGAAAGACCCUAUGAAGCUUUACUGUAACUUGAAAUUGAAAUUGGACUUUAUUUGCGCAGUAUAGGUGGAAGGCGUUGAGAUUACUCUUGCGGGAUUAGUGGAGCCAUCAGUGAGAUACCACUCCUAUAAUGUUAGAUUUCUAACUUUGGAUCAUAAUCUGGUCAAAGAACAGUUUCAGGCGGGCAGUUUGACUGGGGCGGUCGCCUCCCAAAUGGUAACGGAGGCGUACAAAGGUUUCCUCUGAACGGGUAGAAAUCGUAUCUAGAGUGUAAAGGCAUAAGGAAGCUUGACUGUGAGACCUACAAGUCGAGCAGGGACGAAAGUCGGUCUUAGUGAUCUGACGGUGCUGAGUGGAAAGGCCGUCACUCAACGGAUAAAAGUUACUCUAAGGAUAACAGGCUGAUCUCCCCCAAGAGUUCACAUCGACGGGGAGGUUUGGCACCUCGAUGUCGGCUCAUCGCAUCCUGGGGCGGUAGUACGUCCCAAGGGUUGGGCUGUUCGCCCAUGAAAGCGGUACGCGAGCUGGGUUCAGAACGUCGUGAGACAGUUCGGUCCAUAUCCGGUGUAGGCGUUAGAAUAUUGAGAGGAGCCUUCUUUAGUACGAGAGGACCGAGAAGGACAUACCUCUGGUGUACCAGUUAUCGUGCCAACGGUAAACGCUGGGUAGCUAUGUAUGGAGAGGAUAACCGCUGAAAGCAUCUAAGUGGGAAGCCCACCUCAAGAUGAGUGCUCUCACAGGGUUAACCUGGUAAGGUCACGGGAAGACCACCCGUUAAUAGGCACUAGGUGGAAGUCCAGUAAUGGAUGGAGCCAAGGUGUACUAACAGACC